rnacentral:rRNA from 1 species
UACGUAGGGUGCGAGCGUUGUCCGGAAUUAUUGGGCGUAAAGAGCUUGUAGGCGGUUUGUCGCGUCUGCUGUGAAAAUCCGGGGCUCAACCCCGGACUUGCAGUGGGUACGGGCAGACUAGAGUGUGGUAGGGGAGACUGGAAUUCCUGGUGUAGCGGUGGAAUGCGCAGAUAUCAGGAGGAACACCGGUGGCGAAGGCGGGUCUCUGGGCCGAUACUGACGCUGAGGAGCGAAAGCGUGGGGAGCAAACAGG